rnacentral:rRNA from 1 species
GACGGAGGAUACAAGCGUUAUCCGGAAUGAUUGGGCGUAAAGCGUCCGCAGGUGGCAGUUCAAGUCUGCCGUCAAAGACCGGGGCUUAACUUCGGAAAGGCAGUGGAAACUGAACAGCUAGAGUAUGGUAGGGGCAGAGGGAAUUCCUGGUGUAGCGGUGAAAUGCGUAGAGAUCAGGAAGAACAUCGGUGGCGAAGGCGCUCUGCUGGACCAUAACUGACACUCAGGGACGAAAGCUAGGGGAGCGAAUGGG